AGUCGUGUGGCCGAGUGGUGAAGGCGGCAGUUUUAAGCACUGCUCCGUAAGGAUCGCGGGUUCGAACCCCGUCGCGACUA
rnacentral:tRNA from 16 species